GAUAAACGCUGGCGGCGUGCCUAACACAUGCAAGUCGAACGCUCUUGCGAAAGCGAGAGAGUGGCGGACGGGUGAGUAACACGUGGAGAUCUACCCACAGGUGAGGAAUACCGGCGAGAAAUCGCCGACAAAACCGCAUAGCCUUGUCGCGCAAGUGGCAAGGAAAGUCGCAAGACGCCUGAGGAUGACUCUGCGGCCGAUUAGCUGGUUGGUGGGGUAAUGGCCACCAAAGCGAUGAUCGGUAGCUGGUCUGAGAGGACGAUCAGCCACACUGGGAUUGAGAACGGCCCAGACUCCGUACGGGGGC
rnacentral:rRNA from 1 species